rnacentral:rRNA from 1 species
GGAGGAUCCAAGCGUUAUCCGGAUUUAUUGGGUUUAAAGGGUGCGUAGGCGGCUUAUUAAGUCAGGGGUGAAAGACGGUGGCUCAACCAUCGCAGUGCCCUUGAUACUGAUGAGCUUGAAUACACUAGAGGUAGGCGGAAUGUGACAAGUAGCGGUGAAAUGCAUAGAUAUGUCACAGAACACCGAUUGCGAAGGCAGCUUACUAUGGUGUUAUUGACGCUGAGGCACGAAAGCGUGGGGAUCAAACAGGAUUAGAUACCCUGGUAGUCCACGCCCUAAACGAUGAAUACUCGCUGUUAGCGAUACACAGUUAGCGGCUAAGCGAAAGCGUUAAGUAUUCCACCUGGGGAGUACGCCCGCAAGGGUG